rnacentral:lncRNA from 1 species
UUUGAACUCAAAACCUAACCAAGGCCUAUUAUCACAUAAAUAACACUUGACUAGGAAUAUUAAGCACACCUUUUUAUCAAAACCGAAAAAAAAGAAAGUUCAGAAUUUUUGGGGCGUUAUAAUAUCAUAACUCAAAACAUAUCAUUAUAGCAAUAGUCUUUACAUGCCAUAUAACAUAUUUACUAAGCAUCAAAAGUACCAACAAGUUGAUCGAUAGUGUGACGACGUUUCCUG